UUUCCGUAGGUGAACCAGCGGAGGGAUCAUUAUUGUAUAAACAACGCGCAAGGGCUGUGGGUGACACAACAAAUUGUUCACGCCCGAGUGCCCUCACACGCAUCCAUCACACCCCCAGGUCCACCACCGCGCGGGUCCGCCUUUCGAUUGUUCGGCGGGGGGCUUACGUUUUCCCACAAACUUUGUAUGCCGUGUAGAAUGUAUUUUUUGUUUUUGCAAUCACACAAUCAAUACAACUUUCAACAACAGCUCUCUUGACUCUCGCAUCGCUGAAGAACG
rnacentral:misc_RNA from 1 species